AGGGAGAGUGGCCGAGUGGUUAAAAGCGACAGACUGUAAAUCUGUUGAAGUGUUUCUACGUAGGUUCGAAUCCUGCCCCUCCCACUUAUUGUAGACUUCAGAGAAGAGAAAAGAGGCAUACGUCAGCGUAGG
rnacentral:tRNA from 1 species